GGAGGGUGCGAGCGUUAAUCGGAAUUACUGGGCGUAAAGGGCGCGUAGGUGGAUGUUUAAGUUGGCUGUGAAAGCCCCCGGGGCUCAACCUGGGGAUGGCCAGUCAAAACUGAACGACUAGAGUACAGUAGAGGGUAGUGGAAUUUCCGGUGUAGCGGUGAAAUGCGUAGAGAUCGGAAGGAACACCAGUGGCGAAGGCGGCUACCUGGACUGAUACUGACACUGAGGCGCGAAAGCGUGGGGAGCGAACAGGAUUAGAUACCCUGGUAGUCCACGCUGUAAACGAUGACAACUAGCUGUUGGGCAGCAUGUCUGUUUAGUGGCGCAGCUAACGCGUUAAGUUGUCCGCCUGGGGAGUACGGCCGCAAAGGCUA
rnacentral:rRNA from 1 species